CUUGGCUGUGAUGAAACUACUUGCCCUCGCUGAUCAGUUGAUGAGAAUUUUUCAGUGUACCAAAUUUCUGAGCCAAU
rfam:Branchiostoma floridae genomic scaffold BRAFLscaffold_32, whole genome shotgun sequence.